UACAGAGGGUGCAAGCGUUAAUCGGAGUUACUGGGCGUAAAGGGCGCGUAGGCGGUUGUAUAAGUGAGAUGUGAAAUCCCUGGGCUUAACCUAGGAACUGCAUCUUAUACUGUAAGACUAGAGUACUGUAGAGGGUAGUGGAAUUUCCGGUGUAGCGGUGAAAUGCGUAGAGAUCGGAAGGAACACCAGUGGCGAAGGCAGGUCUCUGGGCAUUAACUGACGCUGAGGAGCGAAAGCAUGGGGAGCGAACAGG
rnacentral:rRNA from 1 species